UUUGGAGAUAGUGCUAAUCUUGAUGCAAGAUAGGUGAACGGUUUCCAUGGAACAUACCAUAUGCUAAGAAAUCUAUUUGGAUGCAUCGCAAUAGAACUCCUAGAUGACAUGUGUCAUAUGGAAUCUCGCUUUGGUUUAUUUGGAGACAGAGUUAGUUUUGGUGCAAGAUAGGUACACAGUUUGCGCCUAAUGCAUCAUAGGCUAAGAAACCAUUUUGGAUGCACCCGAUGAUACUCCUGGGUAAAGGGGCUCAAGUGGAAGCUCAGUUUGCUUUGUUUGGAGAUAGUGCUAAUCUUGAUGCAAGAUAGGUGCACGAAUUGCAUCGAACGUACCUUAUGCUUAGAAAUAUAUUUGGAAGCACCCAAUAGAACUCCUAGAUGAUGUGUGUCAUAUAGAAUCUCACUUCGGUCUCUUUGGAGAUAGUGUUAGUUUCGGUGCAAGAUAGGUACACGGUUUGUGCCAAAUGCACCAUAGGCUAAGAAACUAUUUUGGACGCACGCGAUGGUACUCCUUGGUGAAGAGGCUCAUGUGGAACCUUGGUUCUGUGUAUUUGAAGAUAGUUCCAAUCUUGAUGCAAGAUAGGUGCACGGUUUGCAUGGAACAUACCAUAUGCUCAGAAAUCAAUUUGGACACACCCGAUGGAACUGUAGAUGCACCCGAUGGAACUACUAGAUGAAGUGUAUCAUAUGGAAUCUUGCUUCAGUCCAGUUGGAGAUAAUAUUAGUUUUGGUGCAAGAUAGUUGCAUGGUUUGUGCCCAGUACACCAUAGGCUCAGAAAUCGUUGUGGAAGUUCCCGAUGGUACUCCUAGGUGAAGAGGCUCAAGUGAAAGCUCGGUUCGGUCUGUUUGGAGAUAGUGCUAAUCUUGAUGAAAGAUAGGUGUACGGUUUGCAUGGAACGUACCGUAUUCUCAGAAAUCAAUUUGGACGCACCCGAUAGAAGUCCUAGAUCAUGUGUGUCAUAUGGAAUCUCGCUUCAAUCUGUUUGGAGACAGUUUAGGUGCAAGAUUGGUGCAUGGUUUGCGCAUAAUGCACCAUAGGCUCGGAAACCAUUAUGGAAGCACCCGAUAGUACUCCUAGGUGAAGAGGCUCAAGUUGAAGGUCGGUUCGAUCUGUUUGGAGAUAGUGCUAAUCUUGAUGCAAGAUAGGUGAAUGGUUUUCAUGGAACAUACCAUAUGCUAAGAAAUCUAUUUGGAUGCAUCGCAAUAGAACUCCUAGAUGACAUGUGUCAUAUGGAAUCUCGCUUUGGUCUCUUUGGAGACAGAGUUAGUUUUGGUGCAAGAUAGGUACACAGUUUGCGCCUAAUGCAUCAUAGGCUAAGAAACCAUUUUGGAUGCACCCGAUGAUACUCCUAGGUAAAGGGGCUCAAGUGGAAGCUCAGUUUGCUUUGUUUGGAGAUAGUGCUAAUCUUGAUGCAAGAUAGGUGCACGAAUUGCAUCGAUCGUACCAUAUGCUUAGACAUAUAUUUGGAAGCACCCAAUAGAACUCCUAGAUGAUAUGUGUCAUAUAGAAUCUCACUUCGGUCUCUUUGGAGAUAGUGUUAGUUUCGGUGCAAGAUAGGUACACGGUUUGUGCCAAAUGCACCGUAGGCUAAGAAACUAUGUUGGACGCACGCGAUGGUACUCCUUGGUGAAGAGGCUCAUGUGGAACCUUGGUUCUGUGUAUUUGAAGAUAGUUCCAAUCUUGAUGCAAGAUAGGUGCACGGUUUGCAUGGAACAUACCAUAUGCUCAGAAAUCAAUUUGGACACACCCGAUGGAACUGUAGAUGCACCCGAUGGAACUACUAGAUGAAGUGUAUCAUAUGGAAUCUCGCUUCAGUCCAGUUAGAGAUAAUAUUAGUUUUGGUGCAAGAUAGUUGCAUGGUUUGUGCCCAGUGCACCAUAGGCUCAGAAAUCGUUGUGGAAGUUCCCGAUGGUACUCCUAGGUGAAGAGGUUCAAGUGAAAGCUCGGUUCGGUCUGUUUGGAGAUAGUGCUAAUCUUGAUGAAAGAUAGGUGUACGGUUUGCAUGGAACGUACCGUAUUCUCAGAAAUCAAUUUGGACGCACCCGAUAGAACUCCUAGAUCAUGUGUGUCAUAUGGAAUCUCGCUUUAAUCUGUUUGGAGACAGUUUAGGUGCAAGAUUGGUGCAUGGUUUGCGCAUAAUGCACCAUAGGCUCAGAAACCAUUAUGGAAGCACCUGAGAGUACUCCUAGGUGAAGAGGCUCAAGUUGAAGGUCGGUUCGAUCUGUUUGGAGAUAGUGCUAAUCUUGAUGCAAGAUAGGUGAACGGUUUGCAUGGAACAUACCAUAUGCUAAGAAAUCUAUUUGGAUGCAUCGCAAUAGAACUCCUAGAUGACAUGUGUCAUAUGUGUAACACCCUAAAUUUUGAAAGUCUUUAAAAUAGAAGAAUUUGAUUUAAUUUUGUGUUUUGUGCUCAUAAAAAUAUAAAAACAAUGAUAUUUUUUCAUUAAAUUAAAAAUUAUCAUAGGAGUUAGCAAUGUGGUUGAGCAUGCAUGCCCUUGCAUUUAUUUUAUUGAGAUGUGUGGCUGCGUCAAAAAAAAAUUCCAAAUGAUUCAAAAUAUUUUUGAAAAGAUGUGAAAAUAGCUUUGGAAUAAAAGAAAACAAAAAGGAAAGAAAAAAAAGGAAAACCUCCCCCUCUCUCAUUUUUCCCCCUCGACCCUCUCCCGUGGCCACUUGGCCCAGCAACGUGGCCCAAUGGCCAGCUCAGACAGUGAGCCGAAGCCCAGGUCGCACGCGUUCCCUCCUCUCCUCCUUCCUUCCGACUGACAGCCCGGUCCCGCGCUACCGGUCACUGACUGAUGGGACCCAAUCGUCAGCGUCUUCCUCCCUCCUUUCCUUCAUCUUCUCGACGGGCUCAUGCAGGACUCAAGCCGGUUGGAAUCAACCCCGAAAUCUUCGGGAGUUUUCUUGCCCAACGCGUAAUCCGAGCAUUCUGUGAGUUUUGGAAGCCGCCCCGUGUUUCUUUUUCCCUUAUACGCGGUCUAUCCAAGCCCUAGACGCCCUAUUGCGAGUACUCGAAUCUCGGCGAGUCCAGAACCAACCCGCCGCGGUGAACCUCGAAUUUCGUCACGGUUUGUGCUUCGGUGAGUGGUUACCGAGGUCUGUGAUGACCUUGCGAAGCAGAAAGAUCGCUCCCUAUGUUUUCUAGUGCUUCCAGUGUCUCUCUAAUCGACACCG
rnacentral:lncRNA from 1 species